AUUGAACGCUGGCGGCAGGCCUAACACAUGCAAGUCGAACGGUAGCAGGAAGAAGCUUGCUUCUUCGCUGACGAGUGGCGGACGGGUGAGUAAUGUCUGGGCAACUGCCUGAUGGAGGGGGAUAACUACUGAAAACGGUAGCUAAUACCGCAUAACGUCGCAAGCCCAAAGAGGGGGACCUUCGGGCCUCUUGCCAUCGUAUGUGCCCAGAUGGGAUUAGCUUGUUGGUGGGGUAACGGCUCACCAAGGCGACGAUCCCUAGCUGGUCUGAGAGGAUGACCAGCCACACUGGAACUGAGACACGGUCCAGACUCCUACGGGAGGCAGCAGUGGGGAAUAUUGCACAAUGGGCGCAAGCCUGAUGCAGCCAUGCCGCGUGUAUGAAGAAGGCCUUCGGGUUGUAAAGUACUUUCAGCGGGGAGGAAGGGAGUAAAGUUAAUACCUUUGCUCAUUGACGUUACCCGCAGAAGAAGCACCGGCUAACUCCGUG
rnacentral:rRNA from 1 species